GAUGAACGCUGGCGGCGUGCCUAAUACAUGCAAGUCGAGCGAAGCGGGGGCGGGUGAGUAACACGUGGAUAACCCCCUAUAAGACUGGGAUACCUUCGGGAACCUGGAACUAUACCGGAGACUUAUAGAUGGACCCGCGCUGCAUUGGCUAGUAGGGAAGGUAACGGCUUACAAAGGCAACGAUGAAUAGCCGACCUGACAGGGGGAUCGGCCAAUCGGGAACUGAGACAGGGUCCAGACUCCUACGUGAGGCAGCAGUAGGGAACCUGCCGCAAUGGGCGAAAGCAUGACGGAGCAACGCCGCGUGAGUGAUGAGGGUCUUGGGAUCGUAAAACUCUGUUUUUAGGGAAGCGGUACCUAAUCAGAAAGGCACGGCUAACUACGUGCCAGCAGCCGGGGUAAUAC
rnacentral:rRNA from 1 species